UACGAAGGGGGCUAGCGUUGCUCGGAAUCACUGGGCGUAAAGCGCACGUAGGCGGGUCUUUAAGUCAGGGGUGAAAUCCUGGAGCUCAACUCCAGAACUGCCUUUGAUACUGAAGAUCUUGAGUUCGGGAGAGGUGAGUGGAACUGCGAGUGUAGAGGUGAAAUUCGUAGAUAUUCGCAAGAACACCAGUGGCGAAGGCGGCUCACUGGCCCGAUACUGACGCUGAGGCACGAAAGCGUGGGGAGCAAACAGGG
rnacentral:rRNA from 1 species